GUGGUUAUUUGCUUCAGGUUGUGGGGCUGUUUGUAAGUGAGGACUGGCCUGUCUCCCAAGGUCUGUGAGAGUGAGGGAUCGUCCUUCAGGAUAGCUUGUACAGUCGCCGUUAUUAAUUAUUCUGCAACCUAAAGAUCAAAUGAAUGUUACUCAUUUAUGCUGCAGUCUGUUAUAUGCUGGAACACUAAUCCAGUCAUUAAUCACACACUUAUUGCAGGGCAUGCAAAUUUUUUUUAUGGCUUUCCAUGCAAUUACCAGCCAGAUCCAAAUACGAUGAUUUCUUGGUAUAUGCCUUGGUCUGGGUAUGUUUAUGCUGCAGCUGAGACUGAGCCUCUAAGCUUGGGUAGACAGAGUUAUGCUAGAAGAACUCAAGUAAGUGAGCUAAAAAUAGCAGUGUGAAUGUUGCAGCACUGGUAGAGGCUCAGAACAGCCACCCAAGUUCAAGCCUACCCUAGCCACUUGAACUUGGAUCAAUGGGCUAGUCUGAGCCUCUGUAGGUGCCACAAUGUCAACAGAGCUAUAUUUAGUGUGCUAAGCCCCCACUAGCAUGUAUGUCUGCCUGAGCUGAGAGAUUUGCUCCGAGCUGCAGUGUAGACAUACCCUCUGAGGUUAUGUGGCAAGAGAAAAACAUUGCAAAUGGUUGUUUUGGGUGGUGGGCAGUGGUGAAGUUCUCCAUUAACAAAAUGGAAAGUGAGAAAACCUGAUUUAUCUUUAUAAAAUUAUCUUUAUUAUUAAUAAAAUUAUAUUUGGAUAGAUGGUCAUUUACUUUACGUGGAGCACAAUGAGCAGAGAAAACCAGAACCUGGCUUUCUCUGAGGCAAGUCUCCUUUGGUGAGUCUACACAAAGGAGCAUAGUUAGAAUUUGUGUUAUGUAUGAGGUACUAAGCUUGACUUCAUUCCCUAUUUUAAAGAAACAGUUUACACCCUAAUUUAUGAUUUGACAAUAUAUAUAUAUUGGAUCACGUAGUAAUGUACCAAAAAGUAUAUGUUAUUACAACAUAAAACAAAUUAUUACUAAAGCAAAGGCUGUGUGGACUAAGGAUUGAUGCAUGAACCUUUUUUAGAAGUCUCUUGUACAGAAGUUCUUGAUAUUGCUUAAGAGUCCCAUGAAUAGUUUUUGUAAUCUACAUUAAUUGCUCACACGAACCAAUACACUUUUUUAGUUCAGACAUGCAUUAGUUUUGAGAAUGAGUGGAUGUUGGUCCCAAAUUGUUCAGUCGAAAGGGAAUUAAAAAGACACUUGAGGUUUAGUUUAUUUUCUUACACAAGAUUUUUUAGUAUUUAGCAACUUAUUAAAGGUAUGUUAGUAUAUCAUUCUUCUAAAAAUAGAUCUGUAUUUGUUGCUUACUAUUGUUACCUCAAGGGGAAUAAAGCAACGCUUCAGAAAGGAAAAUUUAGAAAUGGUAGAGGGGAGAUAAAAGGAAAGACCCUUUUCUCAGAAGGACAGACUUGACUCCCUUCUGUAUCUGUCGCCGAUGCAUUUAGCUUACAAUAAGGGUAUCCCUACUCCCUGUAUGAUGUCAUAAAAAUGAAGAAAAGACAAGGUAAUAUGGUGCAAACAAAGAUGCAGUGGACACUAUGCACGGAUGCAAGGCCCAGGACCUUCUACUCUCCGGCUAAUUGGAAGCCUUUGAGGAGGUCCGCUGGGGAGUCCCAAUGACUGCUGGAUUUUGUCACAGGCAGGGAGAUUCUCUGGGAUGAUGGACACCAGGAAAGCACAGGUUGGAAACAUAAACUCAUGUGCACACUUCCAAAGGAAUGAAGUAGGGAACCUUCACACUCUUGCAAACCUGAGUAAGUGCCAGGAGGAGAGCCAUAUUCCUCCUUAAGGCUGGAAGGAGAGGAGCUCUGUUGUGCACACUAAGAGGUAAAACUAAGGAUUCUACAAUCCUGCAUAAAUGGUCUAAGUGAUCAGAAGGUAAUGAAAAAAUUGCUUAUUUGGAUGUUAAACUGCUGAAAGCUGACCAGAUAAUUAAUGUAAGAGCCUUGGUAGUGAGUUGCUAUAUAUUAACUUUAUUGUCAUUUUUUAAAUUAUAGCUAAGCUUAUUGAGUCUUUAGUUGCUUACCAAAUUAUUUUUAUACUUUUGUGUCAAAUUUAUCUAUCUAUCUAUCUAUCUAUCUAUCUAUCUAUCUAUCUAUCUAUCUAUCUUAUUUAGUUAUGUUUUCAUUUUAAAAUAUAUUAAUGUUGUUGAUUCUCAAAACAGUCCCUAAAUUAGAUUAAUCACCAUUCUUAUUUCCUCCCCCCUAAACUAUUUUCAGAAGAGUGGUUGCACUACAUUUGAAAAUUCAAAUACAGUAAGAGCUACAAGAAUGACUGAAGGUUUGAAAACCUACUUUAUAUUCAGACACUAACAAAACUCAAUAUAUUUAGCUUGACAACGAGGAGGUUAAGAGGUGACUUGAUCAUAGUCUGUAGGUACCUACAUUGGGAGAAGGUUUCUGACAGUAGAGGGUUCUUUAAUCUAGCAAAAGCAUAACAAGAUCAAAUGACUGGAAGUGAAGCUAGACAAAUUUCAAACUUGAAAUAAGGUGCUAAUAUUUUACAGAGUGUAUAUAACCAUUGGAACAAAUUAUGUAGCGAUCGGGGGUGGAGGGGUUCUCUAUCACUUGAAUUCUCUAAAAGGUGGGCACUAGCUCAGCCAGGAGUUAUGGAUUUGAUGUCGGUCUCAUGUAGGAAGUCAGACUAGAUUAUCACAAUACUCCUUUAAGUCUUAAAAUCUAUGAAUCACUAUAUGAUUUAAGUGGACCACAAAAUGGCAGAUCUGGAGAGAAGAAAGGUGAGUAAUAAGGGGAAAAUAUCAGAUAGUCUACAAAGCCAUUUUGCAGGCUCUGCACACUGCACUGAAGAAUGAGGGAAUGGCUGUAGCAUCAGAGACUUUCUCUCUCUAUACUAAGAAUCCCCUCCUCAAAGGCAGGGCCUUUUCCAAGAAGACCUCAUCCUCCCUUCAAAGUUAUCCUGCUAAGGAGUUUAUAAAGCACAUCUCCUUUCAAAUAUCACUGAAAAUGCUUGGAAUCUGUAGGUUCACAAAAACCUCCUCACUAAAAUUUCAGUUAAUAUAUAACUGAAAUGGUUGUUGGGUGGAAAAGUUUUCAGGAAAGAACUGCAUUAAAAUAUUUCCUGUUACAGACAAGGAGGGUAAACACAAAAUUCCACACACAAGAACAUCUUCCUCUUUCUCUGAUGAUUCUUCCCAAAGAUAUUAAAAAAAACCAAAAAACCUAAAAAC